UACGGAGGGUGCGAGCGUUGUCCGGAAUCAUUGGGCGUAAAGGGCGCGUAGGUGGCCCCUCAAGCGUGCGGUGAAAGGUCAGGGGCUCAACCCCUGAUCGGCCGUGCCGAACUGGGGAGCUUGACGCACUGUAGAGGCAGGCGGAAUUCCGGGUGUAGCGGUGGGAAUGCGCAGGAUAUCAGGAGGAACACCAAUAGCGAAGGCAGCUCGCUGG
rnacentral:rRNA from 1 species